rnacentral:rRNA from 1 species
AGACGAAGGACCCAAGCGUUAUCCGGAUUUAUUGGGUUUAAAGGGUGCGUAGGCGGGUUGUUAAGUCAGUGGUGAAAGCCUAGAGCUUAACUCUAGAAUUGCCAUUGAUACUGACGAUCUUGAGGAUAGUUGAGGUGGGCGGAAUGUAUCAUGUAGCGGUGAAAUGCUUAGAGAUGAUACAGAACACCGAUUGCGAAGGCAGCUCACUAAGCUAUUUCUGACGCUGAGGCACGAAAGCGUGGGGAUCAAACAGGAUUAGAUACCCUGGUAGUCCACGCCCUAAACGAUGAUUACUCGAUGUGUGCGAUAUACUGUACGCGUCUAAGCGAAAGCAUUAAGUAAUCCACCUGGGGAGUACGACCGCAAGGUUGAA